rnacentral:rRNA from 1 species
AUUGAUGGCGAGUGGCGAACGGGUGAGUAAUACAUCGGAACGUGCCCUGUAGUGGGGGAUAACUAGUCGAAAGAUUAGCUAAUACCGCAUACGACCUGAGGGUGAAAGUGGGGGACCGCAAGGCCUCAUGCUAUAGGAGCGGCCGAUGUCUGAUUAGCUAGUUGGUGGGGUAAAGGCCCACCAAGGCGACGAUCAGUAGCUGGUCUGAGAGGACGAUCAGCCACACUGGGACUGAGACACGGCCCAG